UACAGAGGUCUCGAGCGUUAGGCGGAAUCACUGGGCUUAAAGCGUGUGUAGGUGGAUCGGUAAGUACCUUGUGAAAUCCCACGGCUUAACCGUGGAACUGCUUGGUAUACUGCCAGUCUUGAGCCAGCUAGGGGCUACCGGAACAAAUGGUGGAGCGGUGAAAUGCGUAGAUAUCAUUUGGAACGCCAAUGGUGAAAACAGGUAGCUGGGAGUGUGCUGACGCUGAGACACGAAAGCCAGGGGAGCAAACGGG
rnacentral:rRNA from 1 species